CCCAACAGCCAUCCCCCUAAGCCACCCGAAAUCACACAGGACAAACCCAGCCUCCUCCUAGGCAGUGUGUUCCCCAGGUAGCCCCAGAUGCUACCUUCAUCACCCAUGUUGGAGCUGAAAGGCUCAUGGUCCCUCCUCUUGGGCAAACUACAGUGCAAAAGGACUCAGGAAGUGAUUUGAAAAGCACCGCCCCCUCCUCCCAGCCCACCACAGCUGUCCACAAAGAAGGUGGGAAGGGAAGGUGGAAAAUCAGAUAGCCAAGGCCAUUCCUCUUCCUCCUCCUCCUCCUCCCCCAACCCUAUACACAAAUAUACACACAUACAUACACGUGCAUACACACAAGCACACAUACAACCCAAGCUAUUAUUUGUCCCUUUCUGAGAUCAAACAAGGACAAAGCAGGUAGGAGAUUAGAGCCUAUGGAAAAUAAGCACAGGGAAACAGGGUGAAUGAAGCCUGGCAUGUUCUGAGAUGCCAGGAUAGUAGGGUGGAUGAAGGCAUAGAGAUGACAGCAGAGGAGAGGAGUAAAAAAUCACCAGCAGAAAUGUGGUAGGACUGAGAAGAGAGAAGGGGGAAAAAAUCAAGGUGAAGGCAAGGAGAGAUGAGACAAAGCUACAAAAAGAAUACAAGCUAAGCCACUGGGUUCAAGGAGAAAUGAGAAGAAAGGGGAAAGAGAAGACCCACAGAAGAAAUAAGGCAAUGAUGAACAGUUACAGAACAGCACCAAGAAACCUAACAAGGUCUCAUAGUAGGCAGACUUGAGUCUCACACAGGGCACCCAACACACACACUCAAGCUUUGCAAGAAGAGUGGAUACAAAAGUGAGGCAAGGGCUGGGAAUGUGGCUUAGUGGCACAUUGCUUGCCUAGCAUGCAUGAAGCCCUGGGUUUGAUUCCUCAGCACCAUAUAAACAGAAAA